CCACAUUGAUUCAAAGUCCUCACGUUUCUAUUUUGGGGGUUGAAAUGACGUGGAAACAACGCUGAUUCAACCAGUUUUUGCACAGUGGAUGGUAAUUCCAGAAUGUUGCUGGAUAUUACAGGCUAAACCUCCCACAUGUCAAACCUACAACACACACAUAUGGAGUGGGUGUUAGUAGGCUAGCCUAGAGACAGCGACGAUGAUACUGAGACAUUUAAGGACAAAGACAUCCUUCUAUAAACAAUAUAACAUGUGGGCUGUUUCUAUGGUGGCCAUGUGCCUGAAAAGACGAAAGGACGGUGCGGCGCCGGUCCUAUAUUGUGAUCCAAUGCUCGUCUCGUUUCCCGUCGCAUCUACCCGUCCCGUCGCCGAAAUUCUAACUACAUUACAUUUCCGCCCACAAGCCAAACUGACCCUUUGAAAUACGGGCUCACCCAGUACACCGGAGGACGUUUGCUGCGAGGAGGCAGCACUUGGAUCUGUCUUUUCUCCCUCGCGUUGCGAUCGGUGUCUGUGCCAAAAGCCCUCGGUGCCGUCUCUGCUGUUGGAUGAGCUGAUACUGGCAGCUGCAGCUGCUGCUCCCGUCGCCCCGGUCUCAGGCAUGCUCUUUCAGUGGGGCGUAACGGACGAUAGUCUCCGGGAAAAGGGAGAACGAAAUCGCAUCUCAGGCAGGCAAAGCAUGGACCGCGACCGACCGGUGAUCCUGCUUGUGCUUCAAGGGAUAUUAUCCAGCAAGCGGGGACCUGUACCACCAGUGACAAAGAGGAAAAGGAAGGCACCUGACUCACACAGCACCAUGGCAACAAUUGCGGACACAGAAUAAACAAUUUGAGGAUUGUGUGAAGUUGGAGACUGAUCGCCUCUUGAGAGAGAAUGAGCAGCAGCUGUUGUAAAGGACGUCACGCUGCUUGCUUACCGAGUGCCACUUCCUCUGCCUUGCUAGCACACUUGACUGCUCUCCGGAAGCUUCUUACCAGUCAGCGCCACGCAAAAGCUAGCUGUUCGUUGGUGCAAGUGGAGACACUUCAGGCUGAGGACCUGGCAAAGUAUGAAGCGAGUGCAUCUCUGACUUCACUGCUGCUGUGGUCAGGCUGUGGUAGGCCCUGUGGUACCUGGCCCUCCCUUCCAGUUGCAUUGCUGGGAAUUAUUUGUUGUUGUACUUCAUCCUACUCAAAAGUCUCAUUAUGAAUUUAAAAAAAUGAUGCAGCACACAGCAUGGUGUAAUCACUUUGUUUAUUAUGUCAAUGUGAGUCAUUGCGUUUAAGCAAACGCCUCCAUCUUCCCUUCAGUUGACCAAAAGCCCUCUCUACAGUAAUGUGAGAAGUACUGAGCCUCAUUAAAGUUUGUCUGCACAGGUGUGAUUCCUCCUCUCUCUGAGUAAGGCUUCAUCAGCAACCGAAGAAGUUGGUAGGCAGAGUCUCCUAAUAAUACAUUCGGCGCAUUCACUCCAUGAAAGGUCUCAGUCCAUCUUGGGAGUAGUCUGCCCUCCUGACUCUUGGUAAAUAGUACUAAAUUGACCAGCACAUGGGCGUCAUGAACUGUGCCAGCCCAACCAAUGUGGAUGUCCCAAAACUUACAUUUGUGAUCUAUAACCCCUUGUAGGAUCACAGUGUAAAACUUCUUUCUAUUAUAAUAGUCCCCCUUGUCUUGUGGUGCUAAGAUGGGUAUAUGAGUGCCAAUGAUUGCUCCACAGCAUUGAGGGAAUCCUGGUUGACGGUCAUGGAAUCCGUUUACUAUGUCUCUGAACUCAGCCUCCGUUGGUUCUCUUGAUGUAAACGUUUAACAUUUUCUCCCGGAUGAGACCGGUAGUUUGAUUAGUGACUGUACAUGCAGUUGACAAACCUACACCAAACAAUAACGAGAUGGUUUCAAUCAAUCAAAUUUAUUUAUGAAGCCCUUUUUACAUCAGCCGAUGUCACAAAGUGCUAUACAGAAACCCAGCCUAAAACCCCAAACAGCAAGCAAUGCAGAUGUAGAAGCACGGUGACUAGGAAAAACUCCCUAGAAAGGCAGAAACCUAGGAAGAAACAUAGAGAGGAACCAGGCUCUGAGGGGUGGCCAAUCCUCUUCUGGCUGUGCUGGGUGGAGAUUAUAACAGUACAUGGCCAAGAUGUUCAAACGUUCAUGGAUGACCAGCAGGGUCAAAUAAUAAUAAUCACAGUGGCUGUAGAGGGUGCAACAGGUCAGCACCUCAGGAGUAAAUGUCAGUUGGCUUUUCAUAGCCGAUCAUUCAGAGUUA
rnacentral:lncRNA from 1 species